AGGUCAGGCAGAGAUCUAUUUUCUGUAGUGGGAAGAAAGCCAUCGCGCAAUCCGAGGCAUCGGUUUACGACAUCGGCAUAAAAGGGAAAUGGGUAGUAAGGAUCAUAGGAUCUCCACUACCUAUGGAAAGCUAUUCAACCUUUAUCCUUAUCGGCUGCCCUUGCUUCUCGUACUUCCCAUAUUCCUUUUGAAACUCCUUAUCAAAGAAUGCAAAUGAAUACUGUCUUGGAGGAAAAAUGGCCACUCGGCUGA
rnacentral:lncRNA from 1 species